CUCUCUGGAGACACCCGUAAAGAACGGGGGCCGAAGGUGCAACAUACUUUGAUGUAUGAAUCUCUCAGGCAACAGGACAGAGAAG
rnacentral:ncRNA from 1 species